rnacentral:tRNA from 1 species
GCGGGAGUAGCUCAGUUGGCUAGAGCUCCUGCCUUCCAAGCAGGUUGUCGCGAGUUCGAGUCUCGUCUCCCGCUCCA